CGCCGGCCUGGGGCUCUUGGAUGUCAGGAAUCACGUCUUCCUUAAAUUGUGACUAGGCAUCCCCACUCCAGGAUUGCCAGAGAAUCCAAGGACGACAAAAGGAUUCAGAUGAACAGGAGGGAAAGCAGACAGUGACAUGUGAAUUCACUGCUUCAUCUGGAGGUGGUCUCACAGACUUGAAGGUAUGAAGAUCAAUCAGUGACGCCAGGUGCCAAGCAGGUCACCUUCCCCCGACUGUCUGAGCCAACCAUUGAUGGACAUUUCCCCCUGCACCUCUCCAUUCUGGACUACCGACAGUUGAUAUGACUAAGACAAGGUCUUACAUGACCUUGCUUACAAGAUUUGUUUGUCUAUAUUUGUUGAUGCAUCUGCUGACAGAAUCGAUGAAAGUCAUCAAGAGAACAGCAAGGAGGCCCCAGUAGAGAAUGAAGAAGAGGAGGGGUGAGAGGAAGCAAUAAUACCAUUAAAAAACCAAAGAAGAAAGUAGGAGCAAGAGA
rnacentral:lncRNA from 1 species